UAGCCUGCCGGUUCGGCCAUGCGCAGUACGUGCCAGCCGGGAGCGAGCCGGCAUGGCGUCUGCCGGGCCGACCACGGGCGGCCAUGCGCAGUGGGUGCCCACCGGGAGCGCGCGCGGGCAUGCGCAGUGCGUGCCCGCCGAGCACAAGAACGCGACUGCGCGCUGCGGCUGUCGAGAGCGAGCUCGAGGCUGGGGCUGCAGAUUUCAUAAGUAGGCAACCCCGUGUACGUUAAUUUUGUUUCUCACACGAGACAGAGAGUACAUGUGGGGGAGAAUCAGAGAGCGACACACAGAAUCCGAAGCAGGCUCCAGGCUCCGAGCUGUCAGCACAGCGCGCAAUGCAGGGCUUGAACCAGCCUUAUUUAAAGGAUGAAGCGACCAGGCAUUUGCAGAUGUUGGCCGGUGGGGCCGUCACCUGAAAAUCAGGUGAAUGUGCUCACAAGCCGAGUGUGGGCCUGAAAAGCAAAACUUUUGUUCUUAUGUAAGUGACUGUUCCCCCCACCCUGGGUGUGCGUGUUCAGUGGCAACCCCAAAAGUUAUGUCCACGUCUCAACUUCCAAACCUGGGAAGGGGACCCUCAUUCGAAAUAGGUCUUUACAGAUGUGAUGAAGUGAAGGAUCUGGCAUAAGACCGUGCUCUAUCACAGUGGUCCUGUAUCCAAUGACAAUGUCCUUACGAGAGACAAGAAGAGAGACACACACAGAGGAGAAGCCACGUGAAGGCGGAGGCAGAGACAGGAGGGACCCAGCCACGAGCCCAGGGAUGCCUGGAGCCCCAGAAGCUGGAAGAGGCACGAAGGACCCUCCUCUGGAGCCUCAGGAGGGAGUACAGCCCUGCCUGGAUCUCAGCGGUCCUGCCCUGGCUGGAUCUCAGCAGUCCUGCCCUGGCUGGAUCUCAGCGGUCCUGCCCCUCCUGGAUCUCAGUGGUCCUGCCCCCCUGGAUCUCAGUGGUCCUGCCCCACCAGGAUCAGGAUCCCUGCCCUGCCUGGAUGUCAGACUUCUAGUCUCCAGAGCUGGGAGAGCAUGAAUUCCUGUGGUUUUAUGCACCCAGGUUAUGGGAAUUUGUUAUGGAUGCCCCAGGAACUAACACCCUGGGUCCUUGUUAAAACGGGAAGACUCUAGUGAAAUAAAACCAGGCAUCUGUGCUUUGAUCCAGCUGGUACGAGUGGCCCUCGAGGAGGCUCCAGCUACUCUGUCUACUGAGUACACUUUGCCCAUUUUGUGUAGUUUAAACAUCGGGGGAAAGUCCAAGGAGAUCAGUCCUUCUCCCAAAGAAUGCCCGGGGAAGCCCGGUACUGGGUCUCAUGAGAGAGCGUGAGGUUUCUGUGGGUUUUUUUGUUUGUUUGUUUUGUUUUGUUUUUGUUUUUGUUUUAAGAGGUAUCGGUCGGUCUUUGCUCUGUACGUGUCGUGGAAACCUACUUCCGCGCUCCAGAGAGUGAAUCUCUCUGGGUUGGGGCAGGAGUGGAGGAAAAGGCUGGCUGUGUCCUCUCCUUGAGGUCGAAUGGCUACGAUGCUCAGUGCAGCACGAAGAGCACAGGACGGACACGUGGGCACCGUCUCUGUGCCCGGGGUCCACGGGGGACGUGGGAGCCCCCUCAGGGCUCCGCCUUCUGGCCUCCAAGCACGAAGCUUCCUGGAGGUGCUUUGCCUCGUUUUUAAUUCAUCGAGACUGCUUCCUGAUCCGUCAGAGGAAGGCCACAGACCUUGACAAAUACCUCUUUGUCCCGUGCUCAGCACUCGUUUGGAGAAAUAAAAGUUACAUAGAAAAAUGCCCCCUUUUCCGUUUUCAUCUCUGAUGGAAUUCGCUGCUGACCCCCUGGUUCCCCACGGCUCCGUUUCAGGGUUUGAUGAUACGGAAAAGAAUUUUGUAUUUGGAUAAUAAAAUUUCCUUACUCGCCUUCCGCAA